GAUCAGCGGGACAGCAACGGUCCAAGGUGGAAACGGUCAGCGGGACAGCAAUGGUCCAAGGUGGAGUCGAUCAGCGGGACAGCAACGGUCCAAGGUAGAGGCGGUCAGCGGGACAGCAACGGUCCAAGGUGGAGGCGAUCAGCGGGACAGCAACGGUCCAAGGUGGAGACGGUCAGCGGGACAGCAAUGGUCCAAGGUGGAGUCGAUCAGCGGGACAGCAACGGUCCAAGGUAGAGGCGGUCAGCGGGACAGCAACGGUCCAAGGUGGAGGCGGUCAGCGGGACAGCAACGGUCCAAGUAGAGGUAAUACGAUCACCGGAACAGCCGAUAACGAUUCGAUUCAAUUUCAACACCGCGAGCCUUGCUUCUGGGUAUGCAGACGAUUCUUUGAAUCGUCCCACCAGGGGUACCAAUUUAUGUUUAGGACGCUUCACCUGUGGUAAAAGGACCUGGUGAAUAUCUCCUGUCCUUCACACAAGAGGGGAACCAGCUUCUAUAGUGGUUGAUAUAAUUAGACUCUGAUAUUCUUUGUCGAGUCGAAGCAAGGUGUAAAUCGGUGUUGAAAUGAUUAAAAUACGUGUGAGAUAAUUAGUUUAUUUAACACAAACACUAAUAUUUACAAGUAUCGUACAAAAUAAUUAUUAUUGUUUUUACUACAACAAAAAAACAUACAUAAAUUUGCUAUGUGCAAUUGACAGUAAAGUGAACCGCGAUUUAAGAGUGAAACAUGUGAUUAGUAACAAGUGAGAGAAGAUUCGCGUGAAAAACCGUGUAA